GAUGAAGAACGUAGCGAAAUGCGAUAAGUAGUGUGAAUUGCAGAAUUCAGUGAAUCAUCGAAUCUUUGAACGCACAUUGCGCCCCUUGGUAUUCCGAGGGGCAUGCCUGUUCGAGCGUCAUUUCACCACUCAAGCCUGGCUUGGUGUUGGGCGACGUCCUCUUUGGGGACGCGCCUCGAAACGCUCGGCGGCGUGGCACCGGCUUUAAGCGUAGCAGAAUCUUUCGCUUUGGAAGUCGGGGCCCCGUCUGCCGGAAGACCUGCUCGCAAGGUUGACCUCGGAUCAGGCAGGGAUACCCGCUGAACUUAAGCAUAUCAAUAAGCGGAGGA
rnacentral:misc_RNA from 1 species